AUGAUGUUUUUAAUAGUCUCAUCAAUGAUAAAAGACUUAUUUAGAAAUUCCUUUUUUAGCAAUUUCACGGCUUCCUCAUAAUUAUCAUCUGUUAUUGACAGAUGUUUGACCACAGUCAGGGCAUAAUCUCUGAGGUAGCCCACUAAGUACGCUAACUUACUGGCGUUAGACAAACUUUUCUUAUUACCAAUGACUGUGUUAAACUGAUUUAUAAAAGUGUUAAAAGCAAACUUGUCCUUCUCCUGGCCAGUGAACGUUCCACAUUCAAGAGGUGGUGGUUUAGUCUCACUGAAUCUCAUUAGGACUGCCAGUUCGGCUAAGGACUUAUCUGAAGGCUGUCCUUCUCCUAGAAGCAAAUCUUUAUAUUCAUUUAACUGAACAUCUAUCUGCGAGUCAUAAUUGACUUGUUCUUCAAGUUCCUGUUCAAACGAUUCAGGGGCUGUACUCUCCUGAUCAAGCUUACACAUAAUUAGGGUAAUUCUUUCAUCAUACUUCUUAAUACUGUCUCUCUCUUCUUGAAUACCCUUCAACUGGGAUUUAUAAAGAGAAGCAUCCAGCAUAUUAUCUUCACGUUGUUUAUUUAAUGUUUUUAGUUUGAGGGUAAUUUUCCUUUUAUGUGUAGCUCUUAACUUUCUUAAUGAUUUAACUUCUUCCUCUGCCUUGGUGAUUUGCUUAGGAUCAAGGUCAGUCAUCUUGCUUGCUUAACUUAAAAUCUUAAUUGCUAUAAAACUAGAAAUCAAACCAAACAGUUAUGAUUCUAAAGUAUUACUAAAAAAUAAAAUACUUAUUAUAAUUGAAUUCCAGUAGACCACAGAGUUAAAAGGAUGCCCAGGGAUCACUAGAAUUGAGGUGCUUUCAAAUGAAAACACUCAAUUUUCCAUGGCACAAACCAGAGUGUUAAUUAAGUUACCCUGAUAUUCUUGGAGAGCCUCAUCAUUCAGGUGCACCCCAUCUCUGAAGGAGUCUGGACCGUACAUUGAUGCCGGUCCCAACAAUGCCAUAUGGUCAACCAGCCCGCGCCUUUUGAGUUGUUUGUUCACAAAAUUAUUUAUAAUUUGGCGCCGCCGGUUAAAAUCGUCUGCUGUGGGGGCUCCAAAUGGAUUGUCCUCUUCAUAAUAGCGAGGUUCUAUUUGCACUGCUAUUUUAACAGUGUCAGGUAGGCUCUCAUUGAGUUUCUCAUAAAAUUCAUUUGCCAGAGCUUUGACCUCCCCGUUGGACCAAGUAUCAACUAUUGAAUUACCUCCCAGAAUGAUAAUCAUGUAAUCCGGGUUCAACUCUUCCAAUAUCUCAAAUUCCUGAGGCCUUUCUACCAGGAAUUGGUAGUUCUUUCCAGGAAAAUACCUAAAUGUAAAGAGCACAUCUAGUUCUUGGUCAUUUACGGUUAAUGACUGGGGCCAAUCGCACUUUUGUUCAAGUUCUCUAACGUAACUGUGCCCGUAAACCAACACUUUCAUUUUACAAUCUCACCUGGACUUAACCGGUUUUCAGAUGAAAUCAGGCUAAGGCCCGAUGAGAGGUAUUGAUGGUUAACGUACUACUAGCCAACGAGUGAUCACGUACCUGGCCUCCAGGCUAAAUAAUGGAACUCAAGGUCAUUCAUCAAACAACUACUAACAACCUAAUUUAAAGAAGUUAUAUUAAUUCCUUACAUCUUAUUGAAGGUUAUAAACCAAUUUACUAAAAGUUAUAUUAAGACGUAUGGAUAAUUAUUUAUCCAACAAGUGGCAAUUAAUCACUUGUUGAAAUUAUCUUGGCAACAAGUAGUUGCAAUAACCCAAUACUAUUGAAAUUGUGAUAUAAACUUAUUACUGCUAUUGAAAUUAUGUUAGAAACUAUUAAAUUUAUGUUAUAAAGUAAUGUAAAUGAUUGUUAUAAAUAAUGUUAUUAUGUUGACUUAUAAAGGUAUAUUGAAAACCGCCUCUCUGGGAUCGGUUUCACACGCUCAGUAGCGUACAAUAUACUUUAGGUAAUUUAUACAACUGAAACUUAAGGGUAGAAAAGCAGAUCACCGAAGCGUAACUCACCUCCACGUCGUAAUAAUAAUAACGCUCACCCACACAGCUAGUUAUAAUAAUACAACUUUUGGCCAAACGCUACUACAUAUUACAACUUAGCUGUGAUGUUCCUUUUCAAUGGGUGGAUAUUGAGGGGCGUGGAAGCAGUGAUCCACGGUGAUUACUUCUACGUAGUUGUAAGGUUAACUUAAAACGUCUUCCUUGUAUGGAAGCUCGUUCAGGACUGAAUGUGUGAGCUGUGUCACGAGUGGGUGUUGGCGAACGACUGCCCGGGAGAACCUGCCUCGCGCUCCUUCGUCUCAGAAUAGGACUCGCCUGAGCGCGGAUGAGCUAUCCCGAACUAGUAAUUAUGAUAGCAGUCGCUGGGUUAUUCACACCCAAUCGUUAAACAAGCUCGUUAAAUACUUAAAUUCUAACAACCAAUGCCUGCCCAUUUCCCUCCUAAAUCUAUACUUUUCUAAUUUAAGUCAAUUACUGCAUGUUCUAUCUUGCCAAACAUAUGCAAAAGUUAACCAGCAUCUUCACUCUUUCAUCCCUUACACUGAUAAACUCUGGAGCAGCCGUCCUUCGUCUGCAUUUCUUCCUGCUUAUAACUUGACCUUCAAGAAGAGUUUAUCAAGACUACUUUUGUCUGUUUGGGAGUGGUGAGUAAUGGGGCUUUUUUUUCUAGUACGCUUUGUUGCCCUUGAGCUGUCUCCUUUGUUUAAAGAAAAUAAUAAUUAAAUAAAUAGAAGUUGGCCGCCAAUGCUUCCAACACAUUUUGGUGCCAUAUCUACAAGUGGCUGGUGACUGUAAGUAUCUCAGCAACCUGCAUGCAUCUAUGCCAUUCCUAUCACGGUGCAUGGAGCAAGCUUCACAUAACACUCAGACAGAGACAGUUCAAUUAUGGUUAUAUUUCAGACUCAGUUUAUUGCUCAGUCUCUUAGAUGCAGUGCUGUUAAUAAUGUUAGUGGUAGUAUUAGUACAAUUAAUGUAUUUAUUUGGUAUCCGGUCAUUUCGCCCACACGACCAGUUCGCCCACAUCAAAAAGUCGUUUCGCCCAAAGUCAGUUCACCCACACUGAGGAGUCAGUUCGCCCACACUGAGGAGUCAGUUCGCCCACACCGAGGAGUCAGUUCGCCCACACUGAGGAGUCAGUUCGCCUACACUCGCUAGAGUUAGUUUUCCCACAAUAGAUAAGAGAGAGAGAGAGAGAGAGAACGGAUUGAAUGAGUGCUUCUUAUAGUUAAAUGGUUAACCAGUUAAAUAGUUUAAUCGAAUUAUAAAAAUGAACUGUGAAAGUAGGUCUCGUCAUUACAGAAAGCCAUCGUAUGCACUCAGUUCCUGACAUGAUGGCAGUCUGUCCAGAACUCUGUAUUUCGUGUGGUUUUCCUGUACAGCCAAGACAGGAAGGGCUACAGUGCGAGUUCUGCUGCAGGUGGCAACACAGAAAAUGUGAUACAGGUGUAUCAAGAGGAGAUUAUUGGGCAGCCGUGAGGUCUGACAAUACAAUUGACUGGACUUGUACUUUGUGCACUAAGGAAGAAGCUACAUCUCAAGACAUUUCAACUGAAGUAGAAUCUUCAUUUGGUGUACAUCUGCAAGACAAUUUGAAUGAAGAACAAGGUAUUUCUUCACUGGAACUUGAAACAUCACUUGAUGACCCACCCCUGCAAAGUGAGGCACAAGUUAACCCUCCUGUGUUGCCCUUGUUUCAGCUAUUUGAGGGUGGCACCAAAAGAGGUCAAAACAAGCUUAUUGAUGAUCUUGGAUACACUUAUAACAUCAAACUAGGAAGGCCAAAUGUAACAUAUUGGCAAUGUACCGUCCGGCCCAAGGACAAUCCCUGCAAAGCAACGGUCACACAAAGAAAUAAGACCUUUGUGAAAAGAAAUACACACACUCAUCCUCCGUCUGCCGAUUCAUCUUCAACAACAAACAUCACAUCUCAGGUGAAGAAAAUGGCAGUACAAGAUAUCUUCAAACCAGCAUCUGCCAUAGUUGAUGAGGUGUGUGUGUGUGUGUGUGUGUGUGUGUAUCAGUGGCUGCUCAUACUUAAAAUUAGUGGAGGUGCUGCUCCCAGAAAUUUCCUUCCACCAGCACGCCAAGGUCGGCACUGUGUGACUGCGCCACUGAGGGAACGGCAGCCACGCAGCCAGCCUCCUGUGUGCACAACUAAAAUAAGGGAUGGCUACUGACAUUACGUUGGUUAGUAGUGGGUGCUGCAUUUUCACAGAGCCUAUGCACGGGCAGCCACUGGACUCUGUAUGUCAGUCUGUGUGUCUAUGUUUGUUUGAGGGUGAUCGAGAGGAGUUAAGAAUAAGUAGGAAAAUGCUGAACAUGCCAAAAUUUUAUACUACUAGGAAUUGCGAUUAAUGCCAACAUUUCAUUCCAUUCAGGUUCUCUUGCAAGAACUACGAAAUAAACCCUGCCCGAGUCUUCCAAAGCCCGAAAACUUGGCUAGGGAAAAAUUAAGACCUGCUGAACCCAAGGACGUAGCAUUCGAACUUGACGAGAACCAUAUCCCAAGCAAAUUCUUGAGAGCGGAUGUGAGGAUCCGUGGACAGCGCCACUUGAUGUUUGCAACAGAUCAGCAAAUGGAACUUCUAAGCAAAGCCAAAUCAUGGUAUAUUGAUGGGACAUUCAAGCUCUGUAGACACCCCUUUUCUCAAUUACUUACAGUAAAUGCAUUCGUAAGAACAGAUCAAUGUGCGAAACAAGUUCCCCUGUUGUUUGUUUUAAUGUCAGGAAGAAAAAAAAGCGAUUAUCGUGAAGUUUGUAAUGCACUUUUAAACUGUCUUCAAGAGGAAAUUUCAGUCAAGCAUAUAACUAUUGACUUCGAAAAAGCACUUUGGAAAGUGCUGCCUGAGGUGCUACCGUUUGUAACUAUCAAGGGAUGCGUCUUCCAUUGGACACAAGCUAUAUGGAGAAAGGUGAGUAAACUUGUGGAUUGUUCCAACACACACACACACACACAGAGAGAGAGAGAGAGAGAGAGAGAGAGAGAGAGAGAGAGAAGCAGCCAAAUGUCAAGUGGCGUUGUUUUAAGUAUUUCUUCUGCAUUUUCUCCACAAGAUACAAGAGGUUGGGCUUCAAGUGACGUAUACUCACGAUGAAGCAACGUACAAGUUCUUACGAAAGCUGAUGGCUCUUCCAUUUCUGCCAGAGACCGAAAUUCCUGCGAUGUUUCAACGACUUUCAUCCAAAGCAACGGGUACUCAAGUACGCCAAGUAUUAAAUUACAUUGAAAGAACCUGGAUUGACGGCUCUCUGUGGCCACCUUCCACUUGGAGUGUAUUCCAGAAAUCUGUGCGUACCAAUAAUGACAUUGAAGGGUGGUAUAAUAGGCUAAAUAAACGUGCAGCAGGUAGAAGUAGUUUACAGUUUUAUGUAUUGGUAAACCUGCUGCAUAAAGAAGCGCUAUUAACAUCUAUACAUAUAAGAUUGGUGUCCGAAAGAAAGCUCAGCAGGAUUCAACGAAAACAUUACAAGGACCUUCAGAAAAAAUUAUUCGCUCUUUGGGAUGAAUACGUGAUGGGCGAAAGAUCAGCGUUUAAGCUUCUGAAGUCAUGCUCUUAUUUGAAUGGGCCAAAAGCGUAAUGUUUCCUACCUUACUAUGAGUACUAAAUAUAUUUUAUUUUACUUUUAGAAUACAACGUGUUUUUAAUACAUGAUUUGUUUUUAGAUGAUGUCAUUUCUACAUAAAUUUUAUAUGAAUGUCUACUCGCAGCAUUUAUUUUACUUUUAGAAUUCAGAUACCUUUAAAUAUAAGAUAGUAUUUUGUAUGAACUGACUCCUGAGUGUGGGCGAACUGACUCCUGAGUGUGGGCGAACUGACUCCUGAUUGUGGGCGAACUGACUCCUGAGUGUGGGCGAACUGACUCCUGAGUGUGGGCGAACUGACUCCUUGGUGUGGGCGAACUGACUCAACUUGUGGGCGAACUGACUUGUGGGCGAACUGACAUGUGGGCGAAAUGACCGUAAACCAUUUAUUUUCAUUAAUUUAUUAAUAUUUAUUUAUUAUAUUAUUAGUGUUCGAAAAUUCUAUUACUAGUAUUAAGAUAAACAAAAAUAUCAGAAAUAUAUUUAUACUCAUUAAUUAUUAUUGCUUUUCUUAUUAAUUCUUUCAAUGUCCUGGCACUUUGACAUCUAGUGCUUCUCUGUCUAGCAGCCAAAAUUGUGGUCUUUCUGAAUGUGUAUGUCCUAAGUCUUCAUUGAUGUAACUAGCUAUAUAACAUCAAAAUCUGCAUCUCUCUCUCUCUUCUCACCCAGUUGUCCCCGUACAUCCUUUCAGUAUCCAAAGAAUUUCAAUUUACAUCUUGUAAUCACUUAACUAAUGCAGUGCAAUCCUCAUCUCUGUAUUUUACCGUGUGGACAUACUCUUUCCUUCCAUGUUCCACUGUCGUAUGUUAUUCCACAACUAAUACAACCACAUCCCAACAGAUCCGAACACGUUCGAUAUCAUCCAAGAGAAUGUGGCAGAUGAAGGGGAGAGUCCAAGAAAGAGGCCAAGGGUGAAGACAUUUAGCCACCCCCUGAAGUACAUGGCAGCAUCCAACCCUCUUGCUAUAUAGGCUGCAGGAAUGUGCUCCCCAUUGCAGUGCACCAGCUCCAUGUACUGAUUUUAGGUGUGAACUUGAUGGGGCUGGAGGAAACUCGACUCCGCCAUCAAGUUCACCACAAUGUAACAUGAAAAGUGAAAAUUGCUGCACCAAACAGUCUGUCGUCUGCACCGGGAGGCAAGGCAGCUCAAAGCCCAGGCUGUUACAACUCCUGGGCAGUUUUUGCUCAGAGCCAGCAAUUUUUUAGAUCCAAUAGGGGUGGAUUUUUUCUAAGGUCAGGUUUAACAUGCUGCAAGAUGCCAAGAUCUAAGCCUAGUAGGAGAUAUGGGUUACAAGAGAGGAGGUUUGCUCUGGCCUUAUACUAUCAAAGUCCAAAUGCUAAUAGAUUUCUAAGCACAGUAUUUCACUUGCCUUCAGUUUCAACACUUUACUCAUGACUCAGGGGUAUUUCAGUAAAUGUUGGCUGGAGCAAACAGACUCUGACAGCCCUGCAGCAAAGAGCACAGGCUUUGUCAAAAGAUUAAAUACUUCGUGGGAUUUGCCAUUAUUUAGUAUUACUCUUGUUACGGCAAGAAAUUUUUCCAUAUACUUUGUCAAAUAUUGCAAGUAAUACACCAUUGUUGGGCUUGCCUGUUGUUUGGGGAGGCGGUGGCUGAAUGGGGAGGCGGUGGCUGAAUUGGGGAGGCGGUGGCUGAAUCGACAGAGUAACACCACCGCGUUCAGGAGGACGCGAGUUCAAUCCCCGCCCGGUGCCACCAAGCUGGGAUUUUUCAGCCGCCGCCAAGUGGCUUAAAACUACCCACAUGCUGUCCAGAAGACCACCUAUCAACCCGGACUCUAGAUUCUAGGAUUAAAGAUGAGCUCCGGGAGGGCAGCAUGAGCCAAUGCAAGAUGGCGCCACUAUAAACACUCGCCUGCGCCAGAACAGGCUGGGCCGACCAUCAGGACCCACCGGGAAGUAGCCUUGGGCCGACCAUCAGGCCCCACCGGGAAAAAGCCUACCGGCGCUAUAGGCCGCGACGUAAAAAAAAAAAUAAAUAAAAAAUAAAAAAAAUAAAUAAAUCAGAUCUUGUUCAAUUAACAAGCUUUGGGUGUCUGCCACUUUCCAGUUGUAAUGCAAGGAAUCGUUUAUCUCCCCUGCCAGAUAUCACAUGUAAUGCACCAUUGUUGGUUUUGCCUGUUAUAAAUUAGAUCUUGUUCAGUUAACAAGCUUUAGGUGUCUGCCACUUUCCAGUUGUAAUGCAAGGAAUCCCCUGCCAGAUAUCGCAUGUAAUGCACCAUUGUUGGUUUUGCCUGUUAUAAAUCAGAUCUUGUUCAGCUCACAAGCUUUGAAUAGCUGCCAUUGUUCAUUUCAGGUGUAAUGCUUGGAAGCAUUUGUUCUCUUCCCUACCCAACAGUAUGCAAUGCUUUAUUGUGAAUUUUGCCUGUUAUGUUUAAUCUUGUUCAGGUAACAAGCUUUUGGUGUCUGCCUUACCUAAUAUGUGCUGCAGUGACACUUGGCUUGGUUUCAUAAUGUGAAAUACAGCAUGUAAUUUCAUCACACUAAGUGUCUAUCAUCACGUGUCUGGCAUCAUUAAUGUGGCUUCCAGGAGUAAUCUUGUUUGCAUUACAGCAUGCAAUUUUUUUUCUGCUUUAUAGGAUAUACAUAAUCACAUAGGUAUGAUUUUUUUUUUUUCUGACAAAAUGUAAUGGCAGUUGAUAUUCUUGACUAAUGCCUCUUAAACCUUGUGAAAA